AGUAAAAUGGCUGAAGGUUUAGGCAAUAAAUUGUAAAUUUAUUUAUAAGAUAUUAUUUCUUUUUUACUA
rnacentral:tRNA from 1 species